GACAGAGGGUGCGAACGUUGUUCGGAAUUACUGGGCGUAAAGCGCAUGUAGGCGGCAGCGCAAGUCGGGCGUGAAAUCCCACGGCUCAACCGUGGAAGUGCACUCGAAACUGCGCAGCUAGAGUCCUGGAGAGGAAGGUGGAAUGACUUGGUGUAGAGGUGAAAUUCGUAGAUAUCAAGCGGAACACCGGGUGGCGAAGGCGGCCU
rnacentral:rRNA from 1 species